rnacentral:rRNA from 1 species
GAUGAACGCUGACAGAAUGCUUAACACAUGCAAGUCGAUGGGGAAGUGGUGCUUGCACCAUGGUAACCAUGGCGGACGGGUGAGUAACGCGUAAGGAACUUGCCUGCGGGACUGGGAUAACAGCAGGAAACUGCUGAUAAUACCGGAUAAGGUCAUUAAGCUGCAUAGCUUAGUGAUGAAAGGAGACGCCUGCGGAGAGCCUUGCGUCCUAUUAGCUAGUUGGAGGGGUAACGGCCCACCAAGGCGAAGAUAGGUAGCCGGCCUGAGAGGGUGGACGGCCACAAGGGGACUGAGAUACGGCCCUUAAUCCUACGGGAGGAAGCAGUGGGGAAAUUUGGACAAUGGGGGCAACCCUGAUCCAGCAAUUCUGUGUGCACGAAGACGGUUUUCGGAUUGUAAAGUGCUUUCAGCAGGGAAGAAGGAAGUGACGGUACCUGCAGAAGAAGCGACGGCUAAAUACGUG